UGGAUCCAGACUUUGAUUCUGGCUCAGGACGAACGCUGGCGGCACGCUUAACACAUGCAAGUCGAACGGAGAAUAUCGAAGCUUGCUUUGAUAUUCUUAGUGGCGGACGGGUGAGUAACACGUGAGUAACCUGCCUCUGAGAGUGGGACAGCUUCUGGAAACGGAUGGUAAUACCGCAUGAAAUCAUAGUAUCGCAUGGUACAAUGAUCAAAGAUUUAUCGCUCAGAGAUGGACUCGCGUCUGAUUAGCUAGUUAGUAAGGUAACGGCUUACCAAGGCGACGAUCAGUAGCCGGACUGAGAGGUUGAUCGGCCACAUUGGGACUGAGACACGGCCCAGACUCCUACGGGAGGCAGCAGUGGGGAAUAUUGCACAAUGGGGGAAACCCUGAUGCAGCGAUGCCGCGUGGAGGAAGAAGGUUUUCGGAUUGUAAACUCCUGUUGAAGAGGACGAUAAUGACGGUACUCUUUUAGAAAGCUCCGGCUAACUACGUGCCAGCAGCCGCGGUAAUACGUAGGGAGCGAGCGUUGUCCGGAAUUACUGGGUGUAAAGGGAGCGUAGGCGGGACGGCAAGUCAGAUGUGAAAACUAUGGGCUCAACCCAUAGACUGCAUUUGAAACUGUUGUUCUUGAGUGAGGUAGAGGUAAGCGGAAUUCCUGGUGUAGCGGUGAAAUGCGUAGAGAUCAGGAGGAACAUCGGUGGCGAAGGCGGCUUACUGGGCCUUUACUGACGCUGAGGCUCGAAAGCGUGGGGAGCAAACAGGAUUAGAUACCCUGGUAGUCCACGCCGUAAACGAUGAUUACUAGGUGUGGGGGGACUGACCCCUUCCGUGCCGCAGUUAACACAAUAAGUAAUCCACCUGGGGAGUACGGCCGCAAGGUUGCAACUCAAAGGAAUUGACGGA
rnacentral:rRNA from 1 species